rnacentral:tRNA from 1 species
GCAAGGGUGGUUCAGUGGUAGAAUUCUCACUUUCCACAUGGGAGACCUGGGUUUGAUUCCAGGCCAAUGCA